AUGUAAACAUGGUCCAAGAUGGCAGCGCCCUUGUCGUCACUAUCGAGUAGCGAAGAGGAUGAAAUUAUUGGUCAGACCUCCACCAAAAGCCAGUUGCUCAAAGCAGCUGAGAUGAAGGAAGACACUAGCAUUCUUGUGCAUAUUAAAGACAAAGACUGUGUGUCUCUGGAAGUAUGAUAUCACAAGUCCUGUUACAGACAGUACACCAGGUUCUUGACAAAGUCUACUGGAACAAAUACACAGGCCUCAGAAGAACAAAAUGAGCCAACCUAUGAUGUCAGCUACAAGAUCUUCUCUGAGAGAAUCAUCCGCCAUCGAAUAAUUG